UAACUGACGCUGAGGCGCGAAAGCGUGGGGAGCGAACAGGAUUAGAUACCCUGGUAGUCCACGCGGUAAACGAUGAAUGCUAGGUGUUGCGGGUAUCGACCCCUGCAGUGCCGGAGUAAACACAAUAAGCAUUCCGCCUGGGGAGUACGGCCGCAAGGUUGAAACUCAAAGGAAUUAACGGGGGCCCGCACAAGCAGCGGAGCAUGUUGUUUAAUUCGAAGCAACGCGAAGAACCUUACCAGGUCUUGACAUCGGGGAAAGGCCCAAGAGAUUGGCUGGGCCUUCGGGCAUCCGAAGACAGGUGGUGCAUGGUUGUCGUCAGCUCGUGUCGUGAGAUGUUGGGUUAAGUCCCGCAACGAGCGCAACCCUUAUGGUCAGUUACUAACACGUGAAGGUGAGGACUCUGACAAGACUGCCGGGGACAACUCGGAGGAAGGUGGGGACGACGUCAAAUCAUCAUGCCCCUUAUGACCUGGGCUACAAACGUGCUACAAUGGUGACUACAAAGAGGAGCGAGACCGUAAGGUGGAGCGGAUCUCAAAAAAGUCAUCCCAGUUCGGAUUGUGGGCUGCAACCCGCCCACAUGAAGUGGAGUGCUAG
rnacentral:rRNA from 1 species